ACACAUGCAAGUCGGAUGUGCCGCAAGGUGCAUGGCAGACGGGUGAGUAACGCGUGGGGAAUCUACCUCUUUGUGGGGAAUAACGCUCCGAAAGGAGUGGUAAUACCGCAUGAGAUCCAUGGCUGGGAUGCUGUGGAUGAAACCUGGGGACCGCAAGGCCUGGGGCAAGGAGAGGAUCCUGCGUCUGAUUAGCUAGUUGGUGAGGUAAUGGCCCACCAAGGCGACGAUCAGUAGCCGGCCUGAGAGGGUGACCGGCCACACUGGAACUGAGACACGGUCCAGACUCCUACGGGAGGCAGCAGUGGGGAAUUUUGCGCAAUGGGCGAAAGCCUGACGCAGCAACGCCGCGUGGGUGAUGAAGGUCUUCGGAUCGUAAAACCCUGUCGUCGGGGACGAAGGUGGAGGGGUUAAUAGCCUCUUUGCUUGACGGUACCCGGAGAGGAAGCCCCGGCUAACUCUGUGCCAGCAGCCGCGGUAAUACAGAGGGGGCAAGCGUUAUUCGGAAUUAUUGGGCGUAAAGGGCGCGUAGGCGGCUUUUUAAGUGAGAUGUGUAAUCCCUGAGCUCAACUUGGGAACUGCAUCUCAUACUGGGAGGCUAGAGUACUGGAGAGGGUGGUAGAAUUCCACGUGUAGCGGUGAAAUGCGUAGAGAUGUGGAGGAAUACCAGUGGCGAAGGCGGCCACCUGGACAGUAACUGACGCUGAGGCGCGAAAGUGUGGGUAGCAAACAGGAUUAGAUACCCUGGUAGUCCACACUGUAAACGAUGAACAC
rnacentral:rRNA from 1 species